CUAACUUGAAUGGCAACCCUGAGCACAUUCCAGGAGGUGACACCGCUGCAAAAAUAGUUGCAUUUACUACACUAAAUCAUGACGACAUACAUUUCACGGAGGAGGAUCUCCUGUAAGUGGAUCACAUUGUAAGCAGUUUUCAAUCAAUGAAAUGCACGAGUACGUUAUAGGUAAAAUUAUCAUCGUUACGUAGUUCUAUUUGAAAAGAUAACAGGCAUCUUUUUUUCAGUACAAAUUAUGUACAACUGAAGCUGGACCCUCAAAAAUAUACUAACAUGGCAGCCCCGUAAACAACGUGUAAGAGGUUCAAAGUUUAUACAUUUUUUUGGGAAAGCUAACUUUAUAUUGAUUACUCAGACAAAACAUAUUCAUGAAAACAAGCACUAAUGCAAUAUUCAAUCCAUGCCAGGUAAAUACAAUUUUGAGUUCAUAUUCAUUACCAGGAAAGCAAUCUAUUUAUGCUCUAUUGAUAAAAAUGACCCGUUGCAUUCUUAUUAAACAAUGAAAAAAACAUAAACUUUGUGAUUUGCCGUUGUGACUGCGUAUGCAACAUGAAUUCCAUGUUGGGAAAACAUUAGAAUCUGACAUACUGUGUGAUGAUUAUGAGGCGGCCGACUGUGGUAAUCUCAAAAAAUUGAUUUCAGACACAAGAAUGUAUCAUAUACAGGAAUUGAAAUAUAAAGUAUUUAUAGGUAGAGUUAAAAUGAACACUAAUACAUACCUCGUGAUACAAUUAUAAUCUUGAUAGUGUUUUUCAAUUUUGCAAUAUGCAUGUCGAUCGAUUUCAGAAGAUUGAUAUGACUAGAAUUCGUGUUUCAGAUGCCGUAAUGUAUUUUGCA
rnacentral:lncRNA from 1 species